UAUUUUGCACCACUCAAUAUCGCUAAAUUUCAAAAUCUCAUUUCUAGAAAUAUUUGCGGUUGCAGACGAUAGCGGCUAGUCACAAGAAAAAAGAAAAUCACAUAAGCGACAAAUACUUAGAUCAUAUAUAUAUAUCUAUAUA
rnacentral:sRNA from 1 species